rnacentral:rRNA from 1 species
GAUGAACGCUGGCGGCGUGCCUAAUACAUGCAAGUCGAACGGACGGACGAUACUUUUGCUUCUCUGAUGUUAGCAGCGGGCGGGUGAGUCACACGUGGAUAACCUACCUAUUCGACUGGGAUAACUUCGAGAGACCGGAGCUCAUACCGGAUAAUAUUUUGAGCCGCAUGGUUCAAAAGUGAAAGACGUUCUUGCUGUCAUUUCUGGCUAGCUCCGCGCUGCAUUAGCUAGUUGGUAGGGUAACGGCUUACCAAGGCGACGAUGCAUAGCCGACCUGAGAGGGUGAACGGGCACAGUGGGAGUGAGAGACGGUCCAGACUCCUAGGGGAGGCAGCAGUAGCGAAGCGUGCGCGAUGGGCGAAAGCCUGACCGAGCAGCGCCGGGCGGAUGAUGAAGAGCUUCGGGUCGGAAGACGGUGUUAGGAUGGAAAAACAUAUGUGUAAGUAACGGAGCACAUUUUGACGGUACCUAAUCAAAAAGCAACGGCUAACUACGUG